rnacentral:tRNA from 1 species
GCCUUCGUAGCUCAGUCAGCGGAGCGUGCCCUUGGUAAGGGCAAGGUCGUGGGUGCGAUUCCCACCGAAGGCU